AUGAGAGUAAAUACCGAUACUUGGUACUACAGCUCUCGUCGUUGCGGUCGCAUCUGUGUAGACAGUGGUACUGGACCUGGAAGACAUUUGUUUUGAAAUCCUCUUUCUCCAAGAAAUUCGCAGAUAGGAUGUAUUGAAGGAGGGUAAAAACACAAAAAAACAGGGAAUGAUGUCCACAUGAAGCCAACGAAUGGAGCACCCUGACCGAGCUAGAAGAAACCAUGGGAGCUGAGUGGACAUACAGACGUAGAUCGUCAAGUAUAGUACAAAGCUAGGACCAAAACACUCCUCCAAGAUCAAACAAAACGUUUGAGGGGUGAAUGUUAUUUAGUAAGAUAAACAGCCUGUUUCUUGAGUUUUAGCCAGGGAUCGUUUGUUCCUAACCACGCGGCAACCAAACUUUAAGAUAAUAUAAUGCUGUCGUCCAUUCUGGUGUCUGGCUAUCUGCAGUGGUAAAAGAAUAUGCCAAAAAAAAGGAAUUUUUUCAGUUUACAGUGAUACCUGCGCAUUUUGUGCUGCUGUCUUUGGCAUCUGGGAUUACAUCUGUCUCCCACUUUAUCUGUGAUAAUCUCUACAACUGUCCAUGUAGGAUACAGCUAACAGUAGAGCUGAGCUGAACUGGACGUUGUGUAUUUAAUAUGAACAUGCAUAUUCAGAAAUGUCAAGAUGCUGUGUAGGUUAAAUUCGGUGGAGCGGUGAUGUUUACCAUACAAUGGUGAGACUCCUCCGGUGCUUGCCUGUAAUUUAAACAAAAUGAUGCUCUGGGGUGAAUUUCUAUCGAUCAGUUAUCAGCUUUUUUCAUCAUUAUACAAAGCCUUUACGUAUGCUUUUACACGAUUAAUAACACUUAUGAUCGGUCGUAAUAGUCUGUGAACACCUGAAUGACAUUUUCUCACUGUAUAGAUAUAAGGCUGAUAUGGAGAUGAUGCUGUCUUCUCUACAGCAUAGGUCGCAUACUGUAGGUUAUAAAUACAGGUCCUGGUUUCAUGAAGCGCAUUAAUAGCUAAGAAACUACGAUGACAACGAUGACAACGUAUGUCAUAGAGAUAACAGUUGCAUUUAUUGCUGUUGGCUUCUUAACACUAAGUAUACUUCUAGAACUUGACAUAUCAAUUGGGCAUAUCGACUGAAUAGUAUGUGAACAUCUCUCUAUAAUCAAACACGUCAUUCUCGGAAACAGAGUAGAGAGUCUGAUGUCUGCAUAGAUAUUGUCCACAUUAUUUCUUCCUCAGAUUCGGUAAUUUCAGUAGGUUUUAUAUUAUCCAUGAUCAUGAAAAUAACAAAUGUUUGGAAAGCUCGUCAUGGAAGCUUUGGUGCAACUGUAGAGAAAAUGUGUUCAUCAACAAUCAGUAAAUCCAGUCAGAUUAUUAUUUACAUAGCUUGCUUUUUAGAUAUAUAGUCAAUGAAGAAAAAGAGAUGAAAAACGGAGAUAAAUGUGUUGGUGUUUGGAUUUUUAGAGUACUUUUAACAUUACAAAUUUUCUCUUGUGUUUGAGUGAUUUUUCUGUGCAGUUCAAAGAUAUUAUGGCAAACGAUAUUUCAUGCAUGUAUUUAUAUUCAACUGUUUUGGCACCGCUUUACAUGUCCAAUAUUCGUGUAAAGCACGAAAUAAUGACACGCGCAUUGCAGCAACUAUACGUAUGUGAUCGAGUUUGACUCUUUUCAUAUUGCACAUGUUAUCAUCAGUUUUCGGUGUAUAAAUUCUGAAUAGGUUAACUGGCCUCUGUGGCUCAGUUGGUUAGCCCGCUAGCGCAGCGUAAUGACCCAGGAGUCUCUCACCAGUGCGGUCGCUGUGAGUUCAAGUUCAGCUCAUGCUGGCUUCAUCUCCGGCCGUAUGUUGGAAUGUCUUUCAGCAACCUGCGGAUGGUCGUGGGUUUUCACUGGGCUCUGCCCGGUUUCUUUCCAUCAUAAUGCUGUCCCGCCGUCGUAUAAGUGAAAUAUUCUUGAGUACGGCGUAAAACACCAAUCAAAUAAAUAAAUAUAUAACUGAAUAGUUUAAUCCUUGGUGACUAUUGUGUGAAAGUUGUUUAUUUGCCUUAGAUGUGUAGAUAAUAAAUCAUAUAAAAGAAAUAA